rnacentral:rRNA from 1 species
AAUGCAUCUAGAUUCUUGGUCAUUUAGAGGAAGUAAAAGUCGUAACAAGGUAUCCGUGGGUGAACCAGCGGAUGGAUCAUUACCAUAUCGAUUGGCGCCAUUGUUGGUGUGACUGGCAAGUAGUCAGUCUCUGGCUGGGGGAGCCUAGCCAGUGCUCGUGGUGUGGACGGACGAGGGUUGGAGUCGGAACCAACAGAAGUCCACGCUCGACGAGUGGAGGGAUUGCUGGAAGGGUGUACACUAUGUGGUCCAGGCGGGACGCGUCCUCAAUCCUGGGCACUUGCAUUGACCUGACAGAAGCGUCGGCAGGUGAAGAGGACAACUGGUGGCCGUGGAUCACUUGGCUGACGGGCCGAUGAAGAACGUUGCAAGCUACGUUAAACGGUGUGACUUGCGGAACACUUGGAACACCGGAACUUCGAACGCACAUGGCAGGUAGUGUGAUCUAACCUUUGUCUGUGUGAGGGUUGUAGUCAGAGAAUGAGGGCUACGUCUGAAGAGCGGGGAGGUUGCCUGUCGAGUGACAUGCUCGCGGUCAGCGCCGAGACCCAUACUCGAGUCGCGCCUCUGGGCAGCAUCGGAGGAUUACGACGAGUGUGGCGGAUAGAGAGUUUGCUGGAGUUGGUGCGCUGUCGAGGGCGCAGCCAGAGGCAGUGGACCUCUGUCCAGCUAUCUUUCUUACAACCUCACAUCAGUCAAGGGUACCCGCCUAACUUAAGCAUAUCAAUAAGCGGAGGAAAUCGGAUCCCG